UGAAAUCAUCACAUAUCCAGUGACUCCAGGAGCUGGAGCUUUAAGGAAAACAAUAUAUAACAUGAGAAUCAUGACAAAAUCAUGAGAGUUGGCAACACUGCAUGCACAGCCUGGUUAACGGCAGCCCCAUCUUGCAGUAUGUGGGGGAACCUGCAGCUGAGAGGAGGGUGGGUGUUUCUUUGUCCGUGUUUCGUGCCUUUUCAGUCGCCCCUUGACUACACGGGGGAGGGGACUGCUCCUCAAGUGGUCUCUGUUGUGCAGACUAUGUGGGGAGUGUGCACCAAGGUGAACUGAUAAUUAGGGGUAGGUUUCACGCCAUCAAGGGUGACAAACCAGAGGGGAAAAGUCCAAGUGUCUGGUAGUUAAGAACUCGGGGAAAUGGAUUUGAGGGGACUCAGGGUCAGAAAGGAUUGUUGAAGUCACCUGCAAGAAAUAACUAGGCUGGUGGAAGCCAGGGUGGGACCUUAUGCUUAUAGGGUGGCAACUGAUGUCAGAGCACUGAACCCUGGCAGCAUAGCAUUAAGACUACCAAACUUAAAAGGCAGGUGGUGACAGAACCCCUUAUUGGUCUUGGUGGCCCCCAAAACAUCACAGGGAACAUCUAGUGACCAUUAUCUAGGGCAGAGGUUCUCAGACUGUGGUACGUGGACCACCAGUGGUCCCUGAGCUCCAUUCAGGUGCUCCGCGGAUAGUUCCCUCUAAGGUGCACACCUGGGCGGCCACACACAAGAGAAUAAAGGGCCACUCAACUAAUUAUUGGAGCCGUGCAGGUGUGGCAGAGAGAGAGGGCACAUCCAUUGCAUUAGAAAGGUAAGAGGACCAACUGGGCAGAAGGUACUGUGAUGAGAGGGCGAGGUGAUUUGGAAGCUCCCUCACCAUAGACAUGAGUGUUCAGGCUCAGUCCUGGGGUCUCAGGAGCAACCGUGACAUCAAGAGUGAAGCCUCUGCGAAACCUCCCAGAAGAAGUGAAUGUUCCUGCUGACCCAGGCAAAGCCAUGGAAGAUAGUGUACGCUGACCACACAUUGAUCAGCCCCGGGUGAGCUCCUGCGACCAGGUGGCUGGGUAGCAGCUCUUGGACCAUUAUCACCUGUACUGAGCAAUAGAUUUCAGCAGAAAACUACCGAAGUGCUCAGUGCAGGUUGCCUCUACUGCUGGCAAGGUGGAAGGACAGAAGUCAGGGACCUUUAUACCUUUGGGUGAAGGGUGAAGAAAUGUAAUUGCACUGAUCAGUAAGAAGCACAGAUCAGAUGGACAUUCCUGCAUACCUAUAUCACAAUCAAGAUACAACCACUAGACUUCUAUACACAGCUAAAGACAAGACAUUUUGAGGACUCUAUACUUUGGGAAAAUUACAGUGACUCCCAAAUGUAACUUGUGUGAGAUCAAAUGUGAUUAUACUAGCUGACCUUCUUUAUCUGAGCCCCAAUUAUCCAAAUGUUGGUCUAGCUAAAAUUAACUUCUUGCCUCCAAAUCCAAAAUCAUAUAAGCACCGAAAUUAAUUUAGCUGAAGCUCCAGUUACUGGAAGGUUUUGAAUGUCUCCCAAUACAUUUGUUAGCAUCUAAAAGCCCAUCAAGACAGUGAUCUAACUGUGAUAUCUGUACCCAAUCCUGCUCCCAUUGAAGUAAACAAGAAAACUCAAGCCUACACUGAUAACUGCAAUACUAUGUACAAGUGUAGCGUGUGGUUCCACAAAUGCACAUGAACAUAUACACAGAAAUGAAGAUACAGGUAGCACUCAGAACUCAUUGUGUGCAACUGAGGUCAACUGCCAACCAACCAAGUGCUCUGUCCUGCUCACACAAAGCUUUCCCUGAAGGCAAGAGAAAAGAAUAAUAAAAGGAGGAAAUGGCCUGCUGAGCAAAGGCUCCGAGUCUUUUAUAACAGGAGGUCGUUUUUGAUUAUAGGAAAAGAACCUUCUGUGGCCAUGGAAACCAAAAUGCCACACAAAAGCCAGAGAGUACUUGGGAGGUAAACAACUACUACCGGGUAGUAUAGAUGAAAGACAUCUUUGCUUUUUGAUGUUGCAUCUGGUUCAUCAUCAGUCACAGGGAAGAUAAAGUGCUAUUUACAAAGAUGGGGUCAAAUGACUCUGGAAAGGAGAUCUGAGAAGUGCCCUCCCCUGCUGGCUUUCUAAAAGGCAAGCUGAACACAAGGUGAAUAGCCAAAGGAAGAAAUAGACAGAGUCUAUAUCCCCCUCAAAUC